UCAGGUCUCCAAGGUGAACAGCCUCUGGCCAAUGGAACAAUGUAGGCAAGGGAAGUCGGCAAAACGGAUCCGUAACUUUGGGAAAAGGAUUGGCUCUGAGGACUGGGCUCGGGGGUCCAGGCCCCGAACCCGUCGGCUGUCGGCGGAUUGCUCGAGCUGCUCACGCGGCGAGAGCGGGUCGCCGCGUGCCGGCCGGGGGACGGAUCGGGAAUCGCCCCUUCGGGGGCUUUCCCUGAGCAU
rnacentral:rRNA from 1 species